rnacentral:rRNA from 1 species
UACGUAGGGUGCAAGCGUUAAUCGGAAUUACUGGGCGUAAAGCGUGCGCAGGCGGUUAUGCAAGACAGAUGUGAAAUCCCCGGGCUCAACCUGGGAGCUGCAUUUGUGACUGCAUGGCUGGAGUGCGGCAGAGGGGGGAUGGAAUUCCGCGUGUAGCAGUGAAAUGCGUAGAUAUGCGGAGGAACACCGAUGGCGAAGGCAAUCCCCUGGGCCUGCACUGACGCUCAUGCACGAAAGCGUGGGGAGCAAACAGG